GGCCUCGCGCCGUGGGACGGCGUCGCUCCCCGCCGGCUGCCGUUAGGGCUGGGAGCCGGCUGGGCGCGGGGGUAGUGAGGGUGCCUCUCGCCGUGGCUGCGCGGCGGCCUCGUCCGAGAGGCCGGCGCCGGGGCAGUGACCGGCCCGUGCCCAGCCGCCGCGCAGGGCGCCCGGGGCAGCUGGCCGAGCCCUCGAUGCCUCCCGUCUGACGGAGGCGCCCGGGAAGCGCCGCCCACCUCGGCCCCGCACCCUCGCCGGCCUGCCGGGUCUCCGCCAGCCCUAGCAGACAGAGAGGGGCGCCGGUCCCUAGUCCCCCAGACCUCCAUUCAAGGUCAAAACUUUGCCCAGCUCAGCCUUGCUCGACCCUGGGCAGGGAAGCGCGGACAUCGGCAGAGGGAGCCCGAGGCUCUCCGUGCCCUUCGCGCCGGUCAAGAACUGUGGAAUCUUUCAGAUGAUAUUCUGAUACUUCUGGACCAAGAUUGAAUUUGUUCUUCAUGAAAAAUGUCUGGGACCUUUUAUAUGGACGGGGAAUACCAACGUAGAGAUGGUCAAGAAAAUUUGCGCUCCGACCUAAACCAAGCACGUUGUAUGGUAGUUGGAGAGCUAAAUGUGCGGAUUGGCUGAGUUGGCCAGCUAGAGUUAUUCAAUUAAAAAAAAAUUAAAAACAUCUCUGGAAACAUUGCUCCCAUCAAAUAUUAAAAUGAUAAAAUGUUAA
rnacentral:lncRNA from 10 species